rnacentral:rRNA from 1 species
GACGAACGCUGGCGGCGCGCCUAAUACAUGCAAGUCGAACGCUGAAGGAGGAGCUUGCUCUUCUGGAUGAGUUGCGAACGGGUGAGUAACGCGUAGGUAACCUGCCUGGUAGCGGGGGAUAACUAUUGGAAACGAUAGCUAAUACCGCAUAAGAGUAGAUGUUGCAUGACAUUUACUUAAAAGGUGCAAUUGCAUCACUACCAGAUGGACCUGCGUUGUAUUAGCUAGUUGGUGGGGUAACGGCUUACCAAGGCGACGAUACAUAGCCGACCUGAGAGGGUGAUCGGCCACACUGGGACUGAGACACGGCCCAGACUCCUACGGGAGGCAGCAGUAGGGAAUCUUCGGCAAUGGACGGAAGUCUGACCGAGCAACGCCGCGUGAGUGAAGAAGGUUUUCGGAUCGUAAAGCUCUGUUGUAAGAGAAGAACGAGUGUGAGAGUGGAAAGUUCACACUGUGACGGUAUCUUACCAGAAAGGGACGGCUAACUACGUG